rnacentral:rRNA from 1 species
UACGUAGGGUGCGAGCGUUGUCCGGAAUUAUUGGGCGUAAAGGGCUCGUAGGCGGUUUGUCACGUCAGGAGUGAAAACUCGGGGCUCAACCCCGAGCCUGCUUCUGAUACGGGCAGACUAGAGGUAUGCAGGGGAGAACGGAAUUCCUGGUGUAGCGGUGAAAUGCGCAGAUAUCAGGAGGAACACCUGCGGUGUAGACGGCUUACUGGACCACCACUGACGCUGAGGCACGAAAGCGUGGGUAGCAAACAGG